UAUGUCGAGAAUACACAAGCAGUUUAUAAAGAGGCUCAUGUGGCAAUAGUAGGGAACUCUUGCCAACCCUGUGGAAUGGAGCCAUUCAGGAAACAGACGCCCAGCUCCAGUCCAGCUGUCAAAUGGCUGCAACUCCUGCCAACAUCCUGAGCUUACCACAGUGGAAUGAGGACCUGGACCAGGCCACCCAGGGCUUUAAAGGAAGCUCCAAACAAUAAUUGAGCUCCUUCGAGUACCCUCACCCAUGUGGUUUGCUGCGGACCUUGACAAUGGAUCCCUUUCUGUUUUAGGAGUCUGAAGAGAUAAGCUCCUGUGCUGCGGAUUCAUCAUUCUCCUUUGAGCUUGUCUUUCAAGAUGUCUACAAGGGCAAGUUCCUCAACCAGAGACUUUCCCAGAAUGCUGAUAACACAUGCCAUAAAAC